GGUUGAUCCUGCCAGUAGUCAUAUGCUUGUUUGAAAGAUUAAGCCAUGCAAGUCUAAGUAUAAGUUUUCACACGACGAAACUGCGAAUAGCUCAUUAAAACACUUAUUAUAACAAUGAGACAAUUCUUCAAUGGAUAUCCAUGGAAAAUCUGAAGCUAAUACAUGUCGCAUUUCAUGCGUGAUUGGUCUUUAGUAAAACUCGGUAGCACUUAUGUGCUCUAGGUGAUCGGAUAGACUCAGAUAUCGCUUUAGCGAGGACUCAUUUCAGUUUGUGACCUAUCAGCUUGGUUGG
rnacentral:rRNA from 1 species